rnacentral:RNase_P_RNA from 1 species
GAGAGUUGGGGCGGUAGUUGCAAGUUGCUCAAAGCAGUAAUUUGAGGAAAGUCCGGACUCCCAAAAGAUCAAACUUGCUGGGUAACUCCCAGUGCAAGCAAUUGCGAGGAUAGUGCCACAGAAAUAUACCGCCAACGGCAAAAAAUUGUACGGGUAAGGGUGCAAAGGUGUGGUAAGAGCGCACCAGCAGUAUCGAGAGGUACUGGCUAGGUAAACCCCGGUGGGGAGCAAGGUCGGAGGAACAAAGGUUGAUCUUUUUCCCGUUCCGCUAUUGGUGUACCGCAGGAGAUAUUUGGUAACAAAUAUCCUAGAUAGAUAACUACCCUUAGCUUGAAGCAAGGCUGAGAACAAAAUCCGGCUUACAACCAACUCUCUCAU